rnacentral:rRNA from 1 species
AUUGAACGCUGGCGGCAUGCCUUACACAUGCAAGUCGAACGGCAGCACGGGUGCUUGCCCCUGGUGGCGAGUGGCGAACGGGUGAGUAAUACAUCGGAACAUGUCCUGUAGUGGGGGAUAGCCCGGCGAAAGCCGGAUUAAUACCGCAUACGAUCUACGGAUGAAAGCGGGGGACCUUCGGGCCUCGCGCUAUAGGGUUGGCCGAUGGCUGAUUAGCUAGGUGGUGGGGUAAAGGCCUACCAAGGCGACGAUCAGUAGCUGGUCUGAGAGGACGACCAGGCAAAAUGGGAACGAGGAACGGCCCAGACCCCCACGGGGGGCAAGCGGGGGGGAUUUUGGGAAAUGGGGGGAAGCCCUAUCCAGGAAUGCCGGGUGGUUGAAAAAAGCCUUCGGGUUGGAAAGCCCUUUUUGCCGGAAAAAAACCCUUGGCCCUAAAACGGGUGGGGGAGGAAGGUACCGGAAGAAAAAGCCCCGGCUAACCACG